AUGUCUAUGACUACGAGGAAAAUUCUAGCCCACAUAUACAAGUCAUGGUCUCAGUCACUGUACUAUGGUCGCAUUCAGGUCCAGGAAUACGAUUCUAUCUCGAAGUUCACGCGCGAGUCACUGCUGGCUGUAAUCAUAUUCCUGAUAAUUAAUCAAUAUAUCUCCCUUUUCGCCAAAAAAGAAAAGAGACAGAUGGAUGUUCUUCCUUGCAUGACUAUGACUAGAAGGAAAUAUUCCAGCCCGCACAUACAAGUCAUGGUCUUUCUCUUGUCAGCCUUUUUCACAUGUUUACUUCUGUAG
rnacentral:rRNA from 1 species